rnacentral:misc_RNA from 2 species
UUCCGUUAUACACAAGCAGCACGACGACCGGGCCGGCCCCCUUACGGGAGGCACCGGGAAAGCACACGAUACACAUGUAUCCAGUAUGCUAUAUGAUUAACAUAAUUAUAAAAUUAUGAUGAUAAAUGGGGUAUAGGGAUUGUUCUGAGCUUUUGUCUCU